UACGGAGGGGGCUAGCGUUGUUCGGAAUUACUGGGCGUAAAGCGCACGUAGGCGGCUUUGUAAGUUAGAGGUGAAAGCCCGGGGCUCAACUCCGGAACUGCCCUCGAAACUAGAUAGCUAGAAUCUUGGAGAGGCGAGUGGAAUUCCGAGUGUAGAGGUGAAAUUCGUAGAUAUUCGGAAGAACACCAGUGGCGAAGGCGACUCGCUGGACAAGUAUUGACGCUGAGGUGCGAAAGCGUGGGGAGCAAACAGG
rnacentral:rRNA from 1 species